AGAUCACCUGUGCCCUUCAGUCAUAAGAUGCAGGGGCAUUUUAGAGGCAUCUAUUUCUCCAUUUCUUAUUUAUUUUUUUCAGAAUCUUAGGUAGUUCAGUCUGACCUCAAAUCACUAUCUAUCCGAGGACAACUUGAGACGUCUGAUCCUCCCCUCCCAAGAGAACUCCAGUUUGGUUCCUGAAACCCACAUCAGGAAGCUCACAGCCACCUGUGAGUCCAACUCCAUGGGAUCCAACAGCCUCUUCUGGACUCUGCCAGUACCCUACACAUGUGGCAUAUACACAGAGGCCUGAGUGCAAACUGAAGGGCAGUGGGAGUGAAUUCUCUACCAGUGUGUGGAAGAGAAGUCAGACAUGACCACAAAAUUCAACCUCCAAAAUUUUGUGCUUCAUCUGCAAAAUGAGAAUAAUGCUGUGUGCCCUUGAGAGGCCUGGCUUUCUACCAUCUGAACUCAGGCUCCUCCCCCUGAACAUCUCUGAAACCUGUUCUUCCUGGGCUGAGAUCAUAGCUCCCCUACAGUGCUCAGAGUGGGGGUGGGGAGGAAAAAUGUUAUCCACCCAACAUCCGAAGUUAUCUUCUCCCAAAUUUCAAAGGAAGAGCUAUGCUCCAGUUGCAUGAUGGUCAGUGGAACCGUAGGGGGUAUGGCUUGUCUUCCCGAGGAAUGAGGGCACUGUCUGACGAUACUUUUGUUUUAUCGUAAGUUGGAGCAAGGGAAGUUAUUGGCCCUUGACAAGUAGCAAUCAGGAACACUGAACCCUAGAGUACACCAGUCAGUCCUCACAGCAAAUAUUCCAUCUAUCAGUUGCAAGGUGGAAACACAGAAUAGAACAGCUUCAGCCUUGAUCCCUCUCUGCCUCUACCUUUUGUGUGAUGUUGGAUAGGGCACUUCAUUACUCUGGACCACAUUUAGUGUCCUGAGUCGUAGGAUAAGAUGGUUUGAUUUGAUGAUCUAAAUGGCCUGUCAUUCUCGAAGUCUUUGCGUACGGUGUUGAGUCUCCCAAGUCAAAGCAAGCAUCCCCAUCUCCGUUCCCUCAACUAUAAAAUAGGACUGAAUAUCCUUACUUCAUUGCUCCUACUAUGGUAUGAGAGGAAAAGUUAACUAACAAUUAUAAAAUUGUCUUAC
rnacentral:lncRNA from 1 species